rnacentral:rRNA from 1 species
GCAAGUCGAGCGCACCUUCGGGGUGAGCGGCGCACGGGUGAGUAACGCGUGGGAACCUGCCUUUUUCUGCGGGAUAACGGUUGGAAACGGCCGCUAAUACCGCAUACGCCCUACGGGGGAAAGGUCCGCCGGAAAAAGAGGGGCCCGCGUCUGAUUAGCUUGUUGGUAGGGUAAUGGCCUACCAAGGCGACGAUCAGUAGCUGGUCUGAGAGGAUGAUC